rnacentral:rRNA from 1 species
AUGCUUGGAGCUGACUUCCUCUGUGCUGACUGGCCACACGUGAAUAGUAUUCUCAUAAGCAAAUGCAGAAGCACUGCAUGCUUGUCUGUUGGUAGUCUCACCUCUGUUAAAUUAUUCUCACUGUAUCACUUGCCAGAUUUAUGUUCUCUCGAAGGAUUGUCUUCGCUGCAACUUGAAAAAGUGCAUUUGGUUGGUGUUCCGAAACUCACCCCCGAGUGUAUCUCACAGUUUCGAGUCCAGUACUCACUCCAAGUUAGCAGUCCUGUAAUAGUCAACAACAUGCUCUUGGCUGAAGGUUUCACAGUUCCAACAUGUCUCUCUCUUGUAGGAUGCAAGGAACCAUUCUUUUCAUUUCAAGAAUCUGCAAAUUUUACAUCUGUCAAGAGCCUGGGAUUCUCUAGUUGUCAAAUGAUUUCCUUGCCAACAAAUUUGAAGUGCUUCCCCAAUCUGACUAAUCUCGUCAUCGAUAACUGCCCCAGAUUGUCAUCUUUACCAGAUCUGCCAUCCUCCCUCCUGGGCAUAUCUCUAUGGGAUUGUUCUAAGCUCUUGAAGGAGAGUUGCCGAGCACCUGAUGGAGAAAGUUGGCCAAAGAUUGCGCAUAUCCGGUGGAAGACAAUUAGUUAA